rnacentral:rRNA from 1 species
UACGGAGGGGGCCAGCGUUGUUCGGAAUCAUUGGGCGUAAGGGCGCGUAGGCGGCCACGCAAGUCGGAUGUGAAAUCCCUCGGCUCAACCGAGGAACUGCAUCCGAAACUGCGAGGCUCGAGUCCUGGAGAGGGUAGUGGAAUUCCCAGUGUAGCGGUGAAAUGCGUAGAUACUGGGAGGAACACCGGUGGCGAAGGCGGCUACCUGGACAGGUACUGACGCUGAGGCGCGAAAGCCAGGGGAGCAAACGGG